GCUGGUGUGGUAUAGUGGCACGAUCAUUGGGCUAUAAUUCUAGAGACCAGGGUUCGAAUCCCUGCUUGGCCC